GUAGGUGGCAAGCGUUGUCCGGAAUUAUUGGGCGUAAAGCGCGCGCAGGCGGUCCUUUAAGUCUGAUGUGAAAGCCCACGGCUCAACCGCGGAGGGUCAUUGGAAACUGGGGGACUUGAGUACAGAAGAGGAAAGCGGAAUUCCAAGUGUAGCGGUGAAAUGCGUAGAGAUUUGGAGGAACACCAGUGGCGAAGGCGGCUUUCUGGUCUGUAACUGACGCUGAGGCGCGAAAGCGUGGGGAGCAAACAGGAUUAGAUACCCUGGUAGUCCACGCCGUAAACGAUGAGUGCUAAGUGUUAGGGGGUUUUCCCGCCCCCCUUAGUGCUGCAGCUAACGCAUUAAGCACUCCGCCUGGGGGAGUACGGCCGCAAGGCUG
rnacentral:rRNA from 1 species